GCCCACCCGUGCCCCAAUCGCACUGAUCCCGCUCCGCGUGUCCGUGACGUCAUAACGAAGCGCCCGCUCUCUCAGCCAUGGCCGCCGCAGCAGCAGGGUCCAGCUCUGAGCAUCCAGAGGGAUUCAGGAAGACACCGGGAAGAAGGAAGUGGAUUCGAGGGACCUAGCACCGUAAUUAGCCCAAUUUUGGUUAAUUAAGGCUACCAAGGCCUCGGCCCCUUGUCUCCCAGGGCUGAAAUUCCAUGGGAAUGCCAUGACUGAGACACGGAGCUCCAUCCUGGCAGGAGUUACUCGCUGACACCACUGCCCAGGCUCCCUCCAUGGUGCUGCAGAGGGAUCAGGAGGCCCCCAGGAAGGAAGAAGUGGGUGCAAGGCUGUUGUCACUGUAAUUAAUUCUGGUUAAUGAGCCAGCAGGAGGUGUGUGCUGGGUAUCACCUCAGCUCAGCCCACCCUUCCCAGGCUGUGCCAUUAUCCCACAGGGAUGUAUCCAGAGGCUGGAGCAGCGGGGCUGAUUCCCUGUGGAAGAACCAGGAGGAUUCAGCGACACCAGAGUCAGGGAAUUAAACAUGAACCCGUGGUUUUAACGUG